GACGAACGCUGGCGGCGUGCUUAACACAUGCAAGUCGAACGGUAAGGCCCUUCGGGGUACACGAGUGGCGAACGGGUGAGUAACACGUGGGUGAUCUGCCCUGCACUUCGGGAUAAGCCUGGGAAACUGGGUCUAAUACCGGAUAGGACCACUGCCUGCAUGGGUGGUGGUGGAAAGCUUUUGCGGUGUGGGAUGGGCCCGCGGCCUAUCAGCUUGUUGGUGGGGUGAUGGCCUACCAAGGCGACGACGGGUAGCCGGCCUGAGAGGGUGACCGGCCACACUGGGACUGGGAUACGACCCAGACUCCUACGGGAGGCAGGAGUGGGGAAUAUUGCACAAUGGGCGCAAGCCUGAUGCAGCGACGCCGCGUGAGGGAUGACGGCCUUCGGGGUGUAAACCUCUUUCAGCACCGACGAAGCGCAAGUGACGGUAGGUGCAGAAGAAGGACCGGCCAACUACGUGCCAGCCGCCGCCGUAACAC
rnacentral:rRNA from 1 species